rnacentral:lncRNA from 1 species
UUUAUUAAUUAAAACUUAUAUUUGAAAAUGUAUGUAUAAAUAUAAAAAAAAGAAAAAGAAGUCGAAUGGUAAGAUGUUUGAAUUUGGCGCGAGAAAGGGUAGUAAAAAACGGCGCUAUCGCGAGCGGCUCGUUCGAUUGGCUGAUGAAUCGAUCAAUAAUGGCGAGUAGACCGCGACGUAAGAACGAUCUCUUUUCGCGAUUGGCGCGUACCUUACACCGCAUCCUAUUAUUUAUUAAAGCUUGGUGACUCAUUUUUUGAAUUUCCUUUUUUCUUCUUCUAUCACCACUUGCGAGAGGUUAUAUUCGAUCUAGGGGAAAAAUAAAUCAUAAAACGAUCUAAUAACGAAAUAAGAAUAAAAAGAAAAGAAAAUAUACAAAAUAAAGAAGAACAAGAAUAAUAAUAAUAAGAAGAAAGUUUUCGAUCAUCUAGCGAUUGCAAGGUUUGUGGACCGGUGUAAGGGGUGGCUAAAAAAAGAAAGAAAGAGAGAGAGAGAAAUAGAGAGGGGGUGACAUGCCUCGGGGCGACAAGCGCCCUUUCCUACGUCUUCCCACCCCUCCUAGGGAAAUCCCCACUAUCCCACCAUACCACCACACCACAUACUAUCACAGUACUAACACAUAUCAUUAGAUUCGUCACACACAUUUGUUCAGAAUUCGUGGCGGUAGCCGGUGUUCGUUAUAUUGGUGGUAGUGGUAAGCCGAUAGUAGGAGUGGUGGGGAUUUGGUGGUCAGGUGGGAGCGGUCAGAAAGGUGGAAGGAGUUUGCUGGUGGUGGACGAGAGACGUUCGUUUGUUCGUUCCUCGCGCAACCGCGUUCGCACGCAAGUGCGACAAAGUACACCCUCUUCUCUCCCCGGGAGGGGCGUCUAAAGGUGCGGUGGUUCGAGGGAGGGAGAAACUAGAGAGACAGAGAGGGAGUGAGAGAGAAGGAGAUAGAGUGAUAGAGAGUCGAGUAGUGGGAGAAAGGGAGAGAAGGACACCGUAUCGUCAGCGAGAGUAGUACCAAUCGCGAGUCGAGUCGACGGAUAUAAUCGUGGCCGUCGAGGGAAGCGCAUUCGAAGGGUCGUCGUCGUCGCGCGUUUCCAACUAACUAAUAAUAAUAAUAAUAAUCAUUAU